UACGAAGGGGGGCUAGCGUUGCUCGGAAUUACUGGGCGUAAAGGGCGCGUAGGCGGCCUGCUAAGUCGGAUGUGAAAUCCCUCGGCUCAACCGAGGAACUGCAUCCGAUACUGGCGGGCUUGAAUCCGGGAGAGGGAUGUGGAAUUCCAGGUGUAGCGGUGAAAUGCGUAGAUAUCUGGAGGAACACCGGUGGCGAAGGCGGCAUCCUGGGACCGGUAUUGACGCUGAGGCGGCGAAAAGCUAGGGGGAGCAAACGGGG
rnacentral:rRNA from 1 species